AGAAUCAACGCUGGCGGCGUGCCUAACACAUGCAAGUCGAACGCGAAAGCCCCGCAAGGGGUAAGUAGAGUGGCAAACGGGUGAGUAACACGUGGGUGACCUGCCUUCGAGUGGGGGAUAACGUCCCGAAAGGGACGCUAAUACCGCAUGACAUCCUGCUUUUGGAAAAAGCGGAGAUCAAAGCUGGGGAUCGUAAGACCUGGCGCUUGAAGAGGGGCCCGCGCCUGAUUAGCUAGUUGGUGGGGUAACGGCCUACCAAGGCGACGAUCAGUA
rnacentral:rRNA from 1 species